GGGUAGGUGGUCCAAUCUCGCUUUGCUGCUCGCAUAUCUCCAUCUCCCUUUGGUCCCUUUAGCUAAAUUAUAUACUAUUAAUCAAUUCCCAGAUAACCAUGUCCGUGUCAAUGUCGUCAAAUUUCUCAAGAAACUCUUCGCAAAACUUUGACCGGGUGAAGUUGGAAUUCGCCCUAUGAAACUUCCAAUACCAUUCAGUGGCCAGAUGAUUACUUAAAAUGUUCUGAUCUGCGUUCAGAUUCGGAAGCGCUUAAGACAAAAUUCGAUAGAGGAAUUUUCAGGUCUGUAGACCAUCUCGAGCGGCUUCAAACCAGAUCCGCCCGCUCUGGAUACUGGAACUUUAACCUGGUGGACUGCAACGUUCGACCUGUUGCUUACACCGCUAACCUGGUGACGGUUACCGUUCCCUUUAGCUCCAUAUGAAUUAGACGUUCGUUUGUUCGCCUGUACUGAGAAUACUUAAAAUAACAAAAAUACUAAUGAACACAAAGGAGGAUCCUGAGGUCGGGACGUUCCUUGAAGGAGGAUACUCUGAAGAAUCUGAUACAGACUCAAAUAUUCUUUUGGAGGAUAAUUUACUUAAUAGCCUGGACUAUUGGCUUGAAAGAUUGUUUGAUGGGAGAACACAAAAAUACUAUAUAAAUUAUUGGCCAGACUUUACUACAAAGUAAUAAGCCUAAAAGUACCUAUGUUAAUGAAAUGUUUAUAACUGAAGCACAUUUAAAGUCAAAUAAUAAAUCGGUCCCUUAAAUUGUACGUGAACUACA